rnacentral:lncRNA from 1 species
AGCAAAGACAGCGUUUAUAAGGCAAGCGGAGUCUGAGGCAGUGGAGCCGUCCUGUCAACCCAAGGAAGUGAUGGAGCCCAGUGACCCUGAUAAAGCAACCUGGUUAGAGUAACACACGGGGAGAAGGAGAUUUGGAGACACAGACACCCAGGGAAGAAGGCCAUGUGGAGACACAGGCAGAGACUGGAGUUAUGAUGCCACAAGCCAAGGAGCACCAAGAAUUGCCAUCAACUACCAGAAGCUAGAAGAGGCAAGAAAGGAUUCUUUCCUAGAGCCUUUAGAGGAAAUAUGGCCUGUGAACCCUUUGAUGUUGGACUUCUAGC